rnacentral:rRNA from 1 species
AUUGAACGCUGGCGGCAGGCCUAACACAUGCGAGUCGAACGGUAACAGGAAGAAGCUUGCUUCUUUGCUGACGAGUGGCGGACGGGUGAGUAAUGUCUGGGAAACUGCCUGAUGGAGGGGGAUAACUACUGGAAACGGUAGCUAAUACCGCAUAACGUCACAAGACCAAAGAGGGGGACCUUCGGGCCUCUUGCCAUCGGGUGGGCCCAGAUGGGAUUAGCUAGUAGGUGGGGUAACGGCUCACCUAGGCGACGAUCCCUAGCUGGUCUGAGAGGAUGACCAGCCACACUGGAACUGAGACACGGUCCAGACUCCUACGGGAGGCAGCAGUGGGGAAUAUUGCACAAUGGGCGCAAGCCUGAUGCAGCCAUGCCGCGUGUAUGAAGAAGGCCUUCGGGUUGUGAAGUACUUUCAGCGGGGAGGAAGGGAGUAAAGUUAAUACCUUUGCUCAUUGACGUUACCCGCAGAAGAAGCACCGGCUAACUCCGUGCCAGCCGCCGCCGUAA